GAGCCCCCAUACAUGCGGUCACGUUUUAGCUGCACAGUUCUAUCUUUCCACUUCUUUGUACAAUCGUGUCUUGGUUGUAUCGGUUGUAAGGAACUAUGGUGAUCCCACUCCUGAUGUCAGUGCUGCAGGAUGGGGAGGAGUGGGAGACCCCCCACAGCUUCAACCCUGGCCACUUCCUGGAUGAGAAGGGCUGCUUCAUCAAGAUAAAUGCUUUCAUGCCAUUCUCUGCAGGGUGACGGGCCUGUCUGGGAGAGAGCCUGGCCAAGAUGGAGCUCUUCCUCUUCUUCACCUUCCUCCUGCAGAGACUUCGGUCUUGACUCUUGCGCCGUCAUUGACCAUGAGCCUGCCUACCGCCCACCUGUACUUCUGCCCUGCUGACAGCUUUCUGGCAUGGUGUACCGAUUACAAGACUGCCUUCUCCCUCAUUACUGCGCUUUGGUUUUCUGGCUGGAUAUUUACGUGUAUGAACAUUGCUUUUGACUACGCUCCCUGGAUAUUCCCCAAAUAAAGCCCUGAUGGGUCUUUACUACUC